rnacentral:rRNA from 1 species
AUUGAACGCUGGCGGCAGGCCUAACACAUGCAAGUCGAACGAUUGGCGGACGGGUGAGUAAGGUCUGGGAAACUGCCUGCUGGGGGGGGAUAACUACUGGAAACGGUAGCUAAUACCGCAUACCAUGAGAUGUGCCCGGAUGGGAUUAGCGGGCUGGGGGGGUAACGGCUCACCACGGCGACGAUCCCUAGCUGGUCUGAGAGGAUGACCAGCCACACUGGAAAUCAGCGAGGGUCGAGAGUCCUACGGGUGGCACCAGUGGGGAUUCUUGCACGAUUGGCGCAAGGCUAGUACAGCCAUGUGGAGUGUAUGAAGAAGGCCUUCGGGUUGUAAAGUACUUUCAGCGGCGAGGCGUUACCCGGAGAAGAAGCACCGGCUAACUCCGUGCCAGCAGCCGCGGUAAUAC